rnacentral:piRNA from 1 species
UACAGAUGGUAGUGGAAGUCAUGC